rnacentral:rRNA from 1 species
GACGAACGCUGGCGGCGUGCUUAACACAUGCAAGUCGAACGGAAAGGCUCCAGCUUGCUGGAGUACUCGAGUGGCGAACGGGUGAGUAACACGUGGGUAAUCUGCCCUGCACUCUGGGAUAAGCCUGGGAAACUGGGUCUAAUACUGGAUAUGACCUUUCUCCUUAUGGGGUUUGGUGGAAAGUUUUUCGGUGUAGGAUGAGCCCGCGGCCUAUCAGCUUGUUGGUGGGGUGAUGGCCUACCAAGGCGACGACGGGUAGCCGGCCUGGGAGGGUGAUCGGCCACAUUGGGACUGAGAGACGGCCCAGACUCCUACGGGAGGCAGCAGUGGGGAAUAUUGCACAAUGGGCGGAAGCCUGAUGCAGCGACGCCGCGUGAGGGAUGACGGCCUUCGGGUUGUAAACCUCUUUCAGCAGGGACGAAGCGUAAGUGACGGUACCUGCAGAAGAAGCACCGGCUAACUACGUG